rnacentral:rRNA from 1 species
GACGAACGCUGGCGGCGUGCCUAAUACAUGCAAGUUGAGCGCUGAAGGUUGGUACUUGUACCAACUGGAUGAGCAGCGAACGGGUGAGUAACGCGUGGGGAAUCUGCCUUUGAGCGGGGGACAACAUUUGGAAACGAAUGCUAAUACCGCAUAAAAACUUUAAACACAAGUUUUAAGUUUGAAAGAUGCAAUUGCAUCACUCAAAGAUGAUCCCGCGUUGUAUUAGCUAGUUGGUGAGGUAAAGGCUCACCAAGGCGAUGAUACAUAGCCGACCUGAGAGGGUGAUCGGCCACAUUGGGACUGAGACACGGCCCAAACUCCUACGGGAGGCAGCAGUAGGGAAUCUUCGGCAAUGGACGAAAGUCUGACCGAGCAACGCCGCGUGAGUGAAGAAGGUUUUCGGAUCGUAAAACUCUGUUGGUAGAGAAGAACGUUGGUGAGAGUGGAAAGCUCAUCAAGUGACGGUAACUACCCAGAAAGGGACGGCUAACUACGUC